UACGUAGGUGGCAAGCGUUGUCCGGAUUUACUGGGCGUAAAGAGCGCGCAGGCGGUCGUUCAAGUCGCGUGUGAAAGCCCCCGGCUCAACUGGGGAGGGUCACGCGAUACUGAUCGACUGGAAGGCAGGAGAGGGUAGUGGAAUUCCCGGUGUAGUGGUGAAAUGCGUAGAUAUCGGGAGGAACACCAGUGGCGAAGGCGACUACCUGGCCUGUUCUUGACGCUGAGGCGCGAAAGCUAGGGGAGCGAACAGG
rnacentral:rRNA from 1 species